CACAGGGAGAAAGAUGGCUCAACAGCCUACGGUCAUUAUUACAGCUUCUAGGCUGCAGUAACAGCCACAGAUAUACCAUGCAAGCAUCCAGACUAAUUCCAGAUUGGAGGGAUGAUACUAUCUCCCAAUUCCCAGCCACUAGAUGGACAGAACACCACACCCAGAAGGAUAAAUUCUCUAAGGAUUAUACCCUGAAAAUGUUUUCUGGAAGACUUCUUGCACCUGCAACAUGCU